UACGUAGGGUGCAAGCGUUAAUCGGAAUUACUGGGCGUAAAGCGUGCGCAGGCGGUUAUGCAAGACAGAUGUGAAAUCCCCGGGCUCAACCUGGGAGCUGCAUUUGUGACUGCAUAGCUAGAGUACGGUAGAGGGGGAUGGAAUUCCGCGUGUAGCAGUGAAAUGCGUAGAUAUGCGGAGGAACACCGAUGGCGAAGGCAAUCCCCUGGACCUGUACUGACGCUCAUGCACGAAAGCGUGGGGAGCAAACAGG
rnacentral:rRNA from 1 species